AACAUCGCGCACCUGCGGGAACCUGCGGAAGGAUCAUUACAGAGUUGCACGACUCACCAAACCAUCGCGAACCCUACCUAACCGUUGCUUCGGCGGGCGGCGCCCAGCGCCCCUAGGCCCCCCCACGGGGCGCCCGCCGGAGGACUGAACCCUCUGGCAGAACGUGGCCGCUCUGAGUCUACUGAACCAGUCAAAACUUUCAACAAUGGAUCU
rnacentral:misc_RNA from 1 species